CACAAUUAAUUUCUUUAUCCGGGUUCAAAUUAGCACGACAAACGAUGCAUUUAUAAACAGAAGGCAUAAUAUUUAUUGCUUCUAAACAGAUCUGGGUGGAUAGCACGGGAAGCACACUACGCGGUAAUCACCAUAGACUGAAAAUAUUACCAGCUGCCAUGACCAACAAGCGCUUAAGUCGGUUGCAGUCCAGUCAGAAAACUACUAGAACGUGCGCUGUGUAGAAGCCAUUUUCGACCUUCUGCUAAUUUGACCAUGAAUGUUGAAAGAAUCAAUAUCAAAUGUGUAGAAACUGAUACGCGUACAUGUGAUGCCAUAUUGAUAUUAUUUUAUUUUUUCCCUAACUGUAAUGACUGCAUCCACAGCUCACUUAUCAAUUUACUACUCGUCGUGAUAUCAACUAUUCCGUUGCACGCCACUAGUGUACCUACAUGACGCCAUUAUUGCACACCAUUAUCAAAUACGCAUUUUUUAAAAUAGUUUAUGAAGAAUCAGUCCCUCACAUUUCUGGAGUUAUUGUUUAACUCUUCAUUCCACAUGCAGCUUUAAAUUGCUGUUCAUCUCUCCCAAUAGGUGUAGUAUAUUUUUGCAAUGCUCCAUAUUGGAUAGGAUUAAAUAUAUAUCGGUAGGUAGGCAAUCGUAAAACUGAGUGACCAUAAUUGAUGGUUUAUUUCUACAAAAAAUCGAGCAAUAUUCAAUAAUUGAAAGGAAAACGUACUGUGCUAGUAAAACCUUACCGUUACUUACAUUCAGUUUCCGAACACAUAGCUAUUAAAAGUCCCUAAAUAUUUUGCUAUGCUAUGGCAUUUUGUUCUAUCGAUAGCGUGCAACUGAAGUUAUAUUGCAUUGAAGAAAGUGUUGUAUGUUUCUCAAUGGAUGCGAGCCGUGCAAUCUGUUACAUGUUUAUUAUUUAAAUAUGUUAAUGAGUCUGACUAUGAGGUGGAACAUUUUCUUACUACGUGUGCACCCAUUCUUUAAGGAGAUAUUAUUCAUUGAUGUCAACCGACGUAACAGUUAAUCGUGUUGUACACUGGAUCAAAAUUAAUUUUGUGUAAUGUUCACAUAAACUUCAUGUUCCAAUAAUGUAAGUUAACAUCUCUGUUUGUCAUCAUUCGAGAUUUAGACCCGUCGCAAUCUAGAAAACUUUUCUGUUUGCUUUACCCGUACGUCUGAAAAACUUUACUUGGAAACUCUCUGUUUAAUGUAUGAUCGAAGACCAAUUAGCAACACUACCGCGACAAAGUUGUAGAAGUUGUUCCCUAAUUACAGAUGAGUAAACUGUGGAUGCAUCGUUGUACAUUAUCUUGUUCAACAAACAAAGCAAAAAACGCUUGAACAAUAAAAUAUGUUUACCAAAAAGGAGGAAGUAGAAAUUUGUACAUAUUAUUUACGAACUACCUUGCUUGGUACAAUAGACAACUCUGUAUAAAACUUUGUAUUAGUAAUAAAAUCCUUGUCUCACG